rnacentral:misc_RNA from 1 species
CUAGGUGAGUGUGGGCUUUGAGUAUCAGCAUAUAUGGAAGUAUUAUGAGGUUGAGUGGAAGUAGGUUGGCUAUGUGGGAGAGUGGAUGCACAUGGUGUGAUGUGACUAUGCUGAGGGUGGGCCAAGGGAUUAUGUGUCAUUGGAGUUGCGGUGGAUACUGCAUCUAUGGGCUGUAGAGAUAAGUGAGCUGGUGGAGGACCAAGUAUACCAUCUUGAGGAGAUAGUGAUACAGUUACAGGUUGUGGCGUCAACAAAAAAGGUGGAAG